GUAGGGAAUCUUCCGCAAUGGACGAAAGUCUGACGGAGCAACGCCGCGUGAGCGAAGAAGGUCUUCGGAUCGUAAAGCUCUGUUGUCAGGGAAGAACAAGUACCGUUCGAACAGGGCGGUACCUUGACGGUACCUGACCAGAAAGCCACGGCUAACUACGUGCCAGCAGCCGCGGUAAUACGUAGGUGGCAAGCGUUGUCCGGAAUUAUUGGGCGUAAAGCGCGCGCAGGCGGUCUCUUAAGUCUGAUGUGAAAGCCCACGGCUCAACCGUGGAGGGUCAUUGGAAACUGGGAGACUUGAGUGCAGAAGAGGAGAGCGGAAUUCCACGUGUAGCGGUGAAAUGCGUAGAGAUGUGGAGGAACACCAGUGGCGAAGGCGGCUCUCUGGUCUGUAACUGACGCUGAGGCGCGAAAGCGUGGGGAGCGAACAGGAUUAGAAACCCUAGUAGUCC
rnacentral:rRNA from 1 species